GCGUCCGUAGCUUAUUUUGGAAGAGCACUGUCCUCCGAAGACAGAGGUUUCAGGUUCAAAUCCUGUCGGACGCG
rnacentral:tRNA from 1 species